rnacentral:rRNA from 1 species
GGAGUUAGCCGGUGCUUCUUCUGUGAGUGAUGUCCUUCCUGCCGGCUAUUAACCCGCAGGCCUUCUUCCUCACUGAAAGUGCUUUACAACCCGAAGGCCUUCUUCACACACGCGGCAUGGCUGGAUCAGGGUUGCCCCCAUUGUCCAAUAUUCCCCACUGCUGCCUCCCGUAGGAGUCUGGGCCGUGUCUCAGUCCCAGUGUGGCUGAUCAUCCUCUCAGACCAGCUACGGAUCGUCGCCUUGGUGAGCCGUUACCUCACCAACCAGCUAAUCCGACAUAGGCUCAUCCGAUAGCGCGAGGCCCGAAGGUCCCCCGCUUUCCCCCGUAGGGCGUAUGCGGUAUUAGCCUGGGUUUCCCCAGGUUAUCCCCCACUACCGGGCAGAUUCCUAUGCAUUACUCACCCGUCCGCCGCUCGCCACCAGGGAGCAAGCUCCCCGUGCUGCCGCUCGACUUGCAUGUGUUAGGCCUGCCGCCACGCGUCAUCUGAGCCAGAAUACGAACCCUACGA